rnacentral:rRNA from 1 species
AUAUUCUGUAGCAAGGUUAACCGAAUAGGGGAGCCGAAGGGAAACCGAGUCUUAACUGGGCGUUAAGUUGCAGGGUAUAGACCCGAAACCCGGUGAUCUAGCCAUGGGCAGGUUGAAGGUUGGGUAACACUAACUGGAGGACCGAACCGACUAAUGUUGAAAAAUUAGCGGAUGACUUGUGGCUGGGGGUGAAAGGCCAAUCAAACCGGGAGAUAGCUGGUUCUCCCCGAAAGCUAUUUAGGUAGCGCCUCGUGAAUUCAUCUCCGGGGGUAGAGCACUGUUUCGGCAAGGGGGUCAUCCCGACUUACCAACCCGAUGCAAACUGCGAAUACCGGAGAAUGUUAUCACGGGAGACACACGGCGGGUGCUAACGUCCGUCGUGAAGAGGGAAACAACCCAGACCGCCAGCUAAGGUCCCAAAGUCAUGGUUAAGUGGGAAACGAUGUGGGAAGGCCCAGACAGCCAGGAUGUUGGCUUAGAAGCAGCCAUCAUUUAAAGAAAGCGUAAUAGCUCACUGGUCGAGUCGGCCUGCGCG